AUUGAAGCACUAGAUCUCUUACGAUCACCGAAGUUAAACAACGUCGAGCCUUAUCAGUACCUAGAUGGGUAACUCCUUGAGAAUGCUAGGUGCUGGAAG